GCCGCAAUGUAAGACAUUUUACUUUUACGUGUCCAAUCGAUUUUUCACAAUUUCAGAAAACUGGCAACUUCGGACGUUAGCCAACUCUAUUGCGAAGAAAGGGGCAAAAAGUUUAAACGAGGCAUGGUGUAUUAGUAUGGUGGGGGAACUUUUGUUGGAAUCGGCCAUCUCGAAUGAAGCCAGUUUCCGGACAAGAGGCGGAGCUUAGUGCAAAAGUCGAAAUUCUUAACAGCCAAUUGCAGGUCUGGUCACACCUUCUCUGGUGCCCUCUAUGAACCAAGAUACUAAUUUCUUUUAAAAAUUUUAAUUUUUUGUUCACGUUCGUUCGAAGACGUCCAUUUAAUGUUCGAAUACGAUGUAACCGUUUGAUCAUGGUUUGAUCGUUUGAUUGAUGAGUAGUGUAAAAUUUAUCCAAAAAUGGUAAAACGGUGCUUCAUUGAAGAUUGUUAUACUGGAAAAGACAAAGAAAAUGGCCCAGCCAUAUUCUUUAAAGUACCCAAACAUCGUCUAGAGGAAUGGAGAGACUCGUCACGCUUGUGUUGGCGUCAUUUUGAUGAAGAAGACAUCAUAAAGGGUAAAUUUAUUCUAGGCCAAUUACAUCCACAACAAUGGCGACUGAGAGAAGGAGCUACACCAAAGCAUGUGUUAGGGCCUCGCAACAUAUUUUUUUCAGGGCCUACAAGACAAUAGAACAACAGACGCCCAGCAUUGGAAGAUUUGCCUCUAAAUGGUCCUGUGAAGAAGAAGAAACUGCAGCCAAGAUGCAAAACAAUUACGUCAAUUUUGAGGACACCUAUUUCCAGCAUAGUUCAAAAUCAGUUAACUACUAUUCACCGCACAGAUUGUAGGAACAGUUCCCAACCUAUAACUAAAUCGCUUUGCACAAAUGCUCUCUCAGAUUCUGGUUCCAGCCAUGUGAUGUUUGAUGAGGACACUAUAAUGGAUUCAGUUCCUGUGCCUGUCACUUCUGCUCUUCCUGAUCCUGGCCCAAGCCAAGCCACUGUUGAAGACGACAUUAUCAUGGAUUCAGUUCCUGUGCCUGUCACUUCUACUCUUCCUGGUAUUUCAAAACACUAUACAGUGUCUCAAACUGUUGUUAUAUUUUAUGUUAGUAGUUGUUAUAAGUUUCAAACUCGGAACUACAGCGCAUGUAAAUACAAAGUAAUCUCAAUUAAA